rnacentral:rRNA from 1 species
AGAGUUUGAUCCUGGCUCAGGAUGAACGCUAGCGACAGGCCUAACACAUGCAAGUCGAGGGGCAGCGAAGAGGUAGCAAUACCUCUGUCGGCGACCGGCGCACGGGUGAGUAACACGUAUGCAAUCCACCUGUAACAGGGGGAUAACCCGGAGAAAUCCGGACUAAUACCCCAUAAUAUGGGCUCUCCGCAUGGAGGGUCCAUUAAAGAGAGCAAUUUUGGUUACAGACGAGCAUGCGCUCCAUUAGCCAGUUGGCGGGGUAACGGCCCACCAAAGCGACGAUGGAUAGGGGUUCUGAGAGGAAGGUCCCCCACAUUGGAACUGAGACACGGUCCAAACUCCUACGGGAGGCAGCAGUGAGGAAUAUUGGUCAAUGGUCGGCAGACUGAACCAGCCAAGUCGCGUGAGGGAAGACGGCCCUACGGGUUGUAAACCUCUUUUGUCGGAGAGUAAAGUACGCUACGUGUAGCGUAUUGCAAGUAUCCGAAGAAAAAGCAUCGGCUAACUCCGUGCCAGCAGCCGCGGUAAUACGGAGGAUGCGAGCGUUAUCCGGAUUUAUUGGGUUUAAAGGGUGCGUAGGCGGCACGCCAAGUCAGCGGUGAAAUUUUCGGGCUCAACCCGGACUGUGCCGUUGAAACUGGCGAGCUAGAGUGCACAAGAGGCAGGCGGAAUGCGUGGUGUAGCGGUGAAAUGCAUAGAUAUCACGCAGAACCCCGAUUGCGAAGGCAGCCUGCUAGGGUGCGACAGACGCUGAGGCACGAAAGCGUGGGUAUCGAACAGGAUUAGAUACCCUGGUAGUCCACGCAGUAAACGAUGAAUACUAACUGUUUGCGAUACAAUGUAAGCGGUACAGCGAAAGCGUUAAGUAUUCCACCUGGGGAGUACGCCGGCAACGGUGAAACUCAAAGGAAUUGACGGGGGC